CCUACGGGGGGCAGCAGUGAGGAAUAUUGGUCAAUGGCCGGAAGGCUGAACCAGCCAUGCCGCGUGAAGGGCAGGGACCUAGGGGCGUUAAACUUCGUUUGUGCGGGAGCAAUAAUGGUCACGUGUGGCCAGACGAGAGUACCGUACGAAUAAGCAGCGGCGAACUCCGUGCCAGCAGCCGCGGUAAGACGGGGGAUGCAAGCGUUAUCCGGAGUUAGUGGGGUUAAAGGGUGCGUAGGCGGUGAGGUAAGUCAGCGGUGAAAUGCCCCCGCUCAACGGGGUGACGUGCCAUUGAUACGGCCUUGCUGGACUGCGGAUGCCGUGGGAGGCAUGUGUGGUGUAGCGG
rnacentral:rRNA from 1 species